GGAUCAAAAAACCAAUGACAAUGAAUCAUGCCCUUCAUCUGUGCAGCAAUGUUGACUGUAUUUCCAAGGAGCACAGACCUUGACUGUAAAUUCAAGUCAAUCAAUUCCUGAUCAGAAUCACUGGUGGAAAGGCUGGAUACUUAUAUUUAAGUCAACAAAAAAGAUAAGCCAAAAAAGUUAAGACCAUUUGCUAAAAGUACAGAAAAAGAUGUGAGAAAUGUUUAUAAAAUAUUGAACAGA